rnacentral:tRNA from 1 species
UGAAGUAGCUCAAUCGGUAGAGCAACUGACUUGUAAUCAGUAGGUUGCGGGUUCAAGUCCCAUCUUCA